UUCAAGGGUUUUAUUAAAAAUAAUAAAUAAAAUAAAGAAGAGUUUACAAAGUAGCUUACAAAAGAGUGACCAUGGAAUAGAGGGAAAUUGGAUAGAAUGGUGUUAGUAAAGGCAGAGCAAGAGUAGGUUUCAAUAAAUAUGGCACACACUGCUAGUUGCCUCCUCAAUAUUCAUUCUCCUCUUUUUCCUUGCUAGCAAAAUCCUGAUUGUUUUUUCAGAUUGGCAAUUAACCUGUUCAAAAAUUAAACUGUGAUUUCCCAGGCUCCUUUGCAUCUAGAAGUGGUUCGUAUGACAUCCCUCUGGCCAGUUAGAUAUAACCAGCUGUCUAUCUACUUGAUCAGACUGUCAAGAAAACAAUUUUUUUCCUAAUAUAAAUGGUCAAACAGCUGGCAUCUCACUUUUACCCCGUUGUCUUUCUCCCCUUUCUUACUCCCGAGAUCAUGAUUUCAUGUCCAGAAAUACAGCAGCUAUCUAAUGUGCAUGAGUACAAAGGACACACACACACAUACGCGGUAGAUGAUAUGGAAAAUUAGAAGCCUGAUUCCCGAUCUACUCAAUUGACUGAGUGAGAAAUGUGGGAGGCAACCAUGACUCCUACUACCAUCUUACUUCCUUUCAUCCAAGACACUUGACUGUAUCCUUAAAUAUCCUUCAAAUUCACUUUCUUUUAGCCACUCCUAGUGUCUGCAUUGUUAGGACCAUAUCAUGCCUCACUCGGCUGACUGAACAGUCCUCCUAGGUCACCCUGCUUUCACUUUUCCCCUGCAACCUGUCCUCUAAUCCGUCACCACGUCAAAAAAAAAAAAAAAAAAAAAAAAAGGAAUACUUUUGUGUUGACCACUGCUCGACCCUCCCAGUCAAGGCCCUUCCUCGUCGCUAGCUGGUGUCAGGUGCAAAGUUGCAGGGAUGGGGAUCCGGGUCAGAGAACCCUUCUCCUUUGACCUAGUCGGGCUGGCUGGCUCCACCGCGGUACUGGAGUAGGACCGUCUCCAAGGCCACCACUCCUGGGUCUGGAGCUGGAAGACCAGGGGGAGGGGCUCUGUUGAUUCCUCCAAAGUCUCGAGCAAGACCUGACACCCACUCCUCACCCCUUUCUCAGCCUGGGCGCCCAUCCUGUGGGCUCUGGGGGCGCAGCCCUCUCUGCCGCUGGAGCGGCUCUGCGCACGGCUGCGGCCCCGCGCCCGCGCCAAGAGCGGUCCGCCCGCAGCGGGACCCUGGAGCGGUGCAGCCCCUUGAGCCCCGAGAGCCUCGAGCGCCCGGCGCCCCGUGCGCAGAGCCGGCGCCAGGCCGUGCUGCUACUCCGCUCCCAGAGCUCCGGAGACCGACGGGCACUGUCGGGAAGGACGCGCUCCCACGUCCCACCUCCUGGAUGCAGAGUCAGUGGGCAAAGCCAGGCUUUCCUUCCAGAAACAAGGGAGAGAGCCGAGGGGACAGCUGUUGUGGAGGUUUCUAAGGAGACUCGGCCUGGCUUCUUUCCCCGCUCCUGGGAGACGGCAGGAAACCUCAGAAGAGAGAACCACUGCUCUCUAACCAGCAAGCAGCCCC
rnacentral:lncRNA from 12 species